ACCUUACCUGGGCUUGACAUGGACCGGAUCGGCGUAGAGAUACGUUUUCCCUUGUGGUCGGUUCACAGGUGGUGCAUGGUUGUCGUCAGCUCGUGUCGUGAGAUGUUGGGUUAAGUCCCGCAACGAGCGCAACCCUUGUCUUAUGUUGCCAGCACAUUGUGGUGGGUACUCAUGAGAGACUGCCGGGGUUAACUCGGAGGAAGGUGGGGAUGACGUCAAAUCAUCAUGCCCCUUAUGUCCAGGGCUUCACACAUGCUACAAUGGUCGGUACAGCGAGUUGCCACACCGUAAGGUGGAGCUAAUCUCUUAAAGCCGGCCUCAGUUCGGAUUGGGGUCUGCAACUCGACCCCAUGAAGUCGGAGUCGCUAGUAAUCGCAGAUCAGCAACGCUGCGGUGAAU
rnacentral:rRNA from 1 species